CCUUAGAGUUUGAUCCUGGCUCAAGACGAACGCUGGCGGCGCGCCUAACACAUGCAAGUCGAACGGAGAAUGCGGGACUGAAGCCUUCGGGCGGAUGGCCUGUAUUCUUAGUGGCGGACGGGUGAGUAACACGUGAGCAACCUGCCUUCAAGAGGGGGAUAGCACCUGGAAACGGGUGGUAAUACCGCAUAAGACCACAGUGUCGCAUGGCACAGAGGUCAAAGGAGCAAUCCGCUUGAAGAUGGGCUCGCGUCCGAUUAGAUAGUUGGUGAGGUAACGGCUCACCAAGUCGACGAUCGGUAGCCGGACUGAGAGGUUGAACGGCCACAUUGGGACUGAGACACGGCCCAGACUCCUACGGGAGGCAGCAGUGGGGGAUAUUGCACAAUGGGCGAAAGCCUGAUGCAGCGACGCCGCGUGAGGGAAGACGGCCUUCGGGUUGUAAACCUCUGUCAUUCGGGACGAAUAGAUGACGGUACCGAAGAAGGAAGCUCCGGCUAACUACGUGCCAGCAGCCGCGGUAAUACGUAGGGAGCGAGCGUUGUCCGGAAUUACUGGGUGUAAAGGGAGCGUAGGCGGGAAAGCAAGUUGGAAGUGAAAUGCAUGGGCUUAACCCAUGAGCUGCUUUCAAAACUGUUUUUCUUGAGUGAAGUAGAGGCAGGCGGAAUUCCUAGUGUAGCGGUGAAAUGCGUAGAUAUUAGGAGGAACACCAGUGGCGAAGGCGGCCUGCUGGGCUUUAACUGACGCCGAGGCUCGAAAGCGUGGGUAGCAAACAGGAUUAGAUACCCUGGUAGUCCACGCUGUA
rnacentral:rRNA from 1 species